rnacentral:rRNA from 1 species
UACGUAGGGGGCGAGCGUUGUCCGGAUUUAUUGGGCGUAAAGAGCGUGUAGGCGGUUCGGUAAGUCUGUCGUGAAAUCCUGAGGCUCAACCUCGGGCGUGCGAUGGAUACUGCCGGGCUAGAGGAUGGUAGAGGCGAGUGGAAUUCCCGGUGUAGCGGUGAAAUGCGCAGAUAUCGGGAGGAACACCAGUAGCGAAGGCAGCUCGCUGGGACGUGACUGACGCUGAGACGCGAAAGCGUGGGGAGCAAACAGG